AAAGUAUCUUACAGCUGGGCUACAAGUGACAUUGAAAUUGUUAUGAUACAUAAAAUAAUAUUUCACCAAUCAUUUUGUACUUGAGGAAUAAAAAAAAUAAGCAAGUGUCUUGUACAUUUUGUAACUGCAAGUUAUUUUUAAGACCUGAACUAUGUUUUAAUAUUAGUAAUAUUAUUUUUCUGUUUGGUUUUGAGAUAUUAAGUUUGCUUAGCUUUCUUUGAAUGUGCCUUUUGAGCUGAAAACACAGUUCAGAUGUACGUAAUUUAAUUUUUCUGUUGCAUCUAUUUCCUCAGGUAACUGUUUUUAUUCGAAUACAGAACAAAAGGAGAAAACAAUCUGUGAAAUGAGCCUGCAUGAGAUAAUGUCCUCUACUCUGUAGUUCACUUUUUCAUUUUCCUCUAGAGUAAAAAUGAAAUUUUUUAAGUAUGGGAAAUAAAGCCACAUACAAAUUUUGCAUCUUUAAAUAUAUAUAUAUAUAUUGUUACAUUGUAUCUUGUAGAACUGGAGAGGGCUUCCUUUGUAUUUCUUUUAAGAGGUGAAUAAAUUAGAGAAGUGGAAGUGUUAGAGCACUUGCAGAACCUUGGCUAUGUAUUAUAUGAGAUUCUUUAAGAUUCCACUUUGAAAGUUCAUGGUGAAAGAUGUGACAGAAGGGAAUCACAACUUUUAUGAAAUCACUAAUGUAAGGACUGAUAAAUUGCUUCAGAGAUGUAUUACAAAAUAAGCAAAACAAAAUUUUGAAAAAAAAAAACGUAAUAUAAACACUGCAGUUGAUACUGAGGAGAUUUUUAUGGGAAAUGUAUGCAAUUUUAUCUAAACCAUUUGUUCCAGGCAAUAAGUCUCUAUUGAAAUGAUCUCAUAGGUUGUAUUCAUUGCCUUUCUUCUUUCACAGUGAUGCAAUGAACAGUGGGAUUUCUCCUGAUGGACAGGAGAUGGACAUUGUAACAUAUCCAGUGGGAUUUGGUAGUUGUUGAAAUAAUUGUAUUCUAAUUUCAUUUCUGUUUCAGGAAAAAAAAAAAUAACCAGAAAAUCCAUUCACACACACAGAAAAA